UACAGGGGGUGCAACCGUUGCUCGGAAUUAUUGGGCGUAAAGCGCGCGUAGGCGGCCGCUUAAGUCGGAUGUGAAAGCCCCUGGCUCAACUGGGGAAGUGCACCCGAAACUGAGUGGCUUGAGUACUAAAGAGGGUCGCGGAAUUCCCGGUGUAGAGGUGAAAUUCGUAGAUAUCGGGAGGAACACCAGUGGCGAAGGCGACUACCUGGCCUGUUCUUGACGCUGAGGCGCGAAAGCUAGGGGAGCAAACGGG
rnacentral:rRNA from 1 species